AUCCUUCCGCAGGUUCACCUACGGAA
rnacentral:ncRNA from 2 species